AAAAAAAACGAGUGUACCCUCCUGUGGCUUGUUCCAGAGUUUCCUUUGGGAUUUAUGUGCCCUAAUCCCUUGAAACUACGGUGAAUAUGUUCAACGUAACACGGCCAGGUGAAUCGAAUGGUUCCGUUUCAUCGAAGUCAUAAUGAAGUUAUGCAUUUUUUAUGCUAAACGACAUUUAUUUGAAGGCUUUACUAAAUUUUGAGAAAUGCUUGUCAGGACAAAAGACUGAAAAACUGCCUUUAAACACAGCCAUCAUUAAUGUAAAUGGAUUCAUAAGGAACAUCCAAACAAUAUGAUACUAGGAUCAUCAGAGACUGGCAAUUUUUACCACUCACUGUGAUAGAUGCAUCUAAAUAAACAUUGAAAUGUUAAAUUUUUUUGUUCAUUGCUUUUCCUCAUAUGGUAUUAAUAUUGCAUAAUAUUCUUGUGAAUAUCGCACGAUUUUCACACGAAAAACAGACAAAGUGGAAUUCGCAUGAAUAUCAUGCGAAAUUUUAGUCGCAUGAAAAUCGCAUGAAUUUCGCAUGAAAUUUGUGUGAUAACAUUCGCAUGAAAUUCGCAUGUGGGACUUUUCACAUGAUUUUUGUAUGAUUUUCGCAUAAAUUUCAUGCGAAAAGGCAAACGCAUGAAAAUCAUGUGAGCCACUUUUCCCUGUG